UACAGAGGUCCCGAGCGUUGUUCGGAUUUAUUGGGCGUAAAGGGUGCGUAGGUGGCAAAGUAAGUUGGAUGUGAAAUCCUGGGGCUCAACCUCAGAAUUGCAUUCAAUACUGCUUAGCUAGAGAGCUGUAGAGGAGACUGGAAUUUACGGUGUAGCAGUGAAAUGCGUAGAUAUCGUAAGGAACGCCAGUGGCGAAAGCGAGUCUCUGGGCAGCAUCUGACACUGAGGCACGAAGGCCAGGGGGAGCAAACGGG
rnacentral:rRNA from 1 species